UCCCACUUUCAUUUUUCCACAUGUGCUGUUCCCUCCCUCUGCAACACUCUUCCCCCCUACCCUUCAUUCAGCUGACCCUUCCUCAUGCUUCAAGUCUCAACUUAAACAUCAUUUCCUCUGGUAACCAUCCUUGGCUCUCCAGGCUGGCUUGUUUCCUUCUCAUACGUUCCUGUAGCACUAAGACCUACCAUUGAAAACUCAAGUCCCAUCUGUAACUACCUGUCUACCACCUGUCUUCCCUCCCAACCCUCCCUGAGGGUCCAGACCUUUCCUAUCAUGUUCACCACUGUAUCCUCAGCACUUACUGUGCCUGGUGCAUCAUCGUAGGUUCUAAACAAACGCGUAUUGAGGAAGUGCUGAAGGAGUCUCCUCAAAAGCCGAGGCCCUGGUGGGGAAGGCAGUGUCCUGCUGAGUGUAUCUGUUUUCCCUCCAUGCCCCCACUGGCAGCAGCAACUUCUCCACACCCAUGUCCAUACCUCACCUUGCCCUCAGUCCUCUGUCAGGAAGCUGGAAGCCCUCUGAACAGGAUGGCUUUGUUCUACAAUACAAGGUCCCGAAGGGAGGAGGAAACCCAGUCCGCCGGAAGUGGAAGUUGGAAGGAAAGGUGAGGCCUAGGAAGCGGGAAGAUGGCUCCUGGGACGCGCAAUCAUGUAUCGGCAUUUCGUGCGUGCAUGAAGAGGGGAAGAAGACAAGCUGCGGGGCUAGAGUAAGAUUUGCACACCUUGGGUCCUGGGACCGUCCUGCUCAGCUGAGUGGAAUACCAAACGAGGGUGUCUUGGAGCUGCACUUCACUUCAGCCAGGCAGUCGACAGGAGAAGCAGCGAGCGAGACCGACAGACUGUCACUGGCAAAAUGAACUGUCACCUCCCAUUUUUCAGAGGCACGGGGGAUGAAUUGCAGCCUUGAACCGUGCGGCCCGCUGCUGAUUGAGUUCCGCUGUCUUAGAACCCCUUCGAACAAGGCGAGUUCAUUUCAGACUGACGUCCCACCGCUCAUCAAUUUAAGAGCCAGUAAAAUUAACCACUUCGGAGCUGACUUGCUCCCUCCCCCUGCUUGGAUUCCACAUCCUGAAAGGUCACCAAAUAAAUCUCUCUGGGUCCUACUAGCAUAAUAUGCAGCUUGGAGACAGGGUCUCAGGAGAGGAGACCGAGCCAGAGAUAGCCCAGGCCUGAAAGGUUGCCGAGGCCCCGUCACAGCCGCCGGUCCAUGGCGGUGGUGUGACAAGACAGGCCUUUGCUAGCUCUGCUCCCACCCAAUCAGCUUCUGCUCCCAAGAGAUCUAGGGUUGGGUAGAGUUGGGUGGCUGAGAAUGGAGGUGCUACAGAAGACCCCCUAGUCUUGUGGCAGAGACCUCUGUGCACUGCUAGUCUCCCAUCUGCUGUGGACUGAAUGUUUGUGCCCCACACCCAUUCAUAUGUUGGAACCCUAAUCCCCAAUAUAAUGGUAUUCGGAAGUGGACAUUUGGGAGGUAAUCAGGGUUAAGUUAGGUCACGGGGGUGGGGGCCCCAAUGUUGGGAUAUAAUGCCUUUAUAAAAUGGAAGAGAAGCUGAAACCUUUUUUUCUUGGCUAUGUGAGGAGGAUACAGCAAGGAGACAGCAGCCAUCUGUAAACCAGGAAGAGGACUCACCAGGAACGUCACUAUGCUGGCACUCUGAUCUUGGACUUCCAGUCUCCAGAACCCAGAGCUGCCUCUCAUGAUAAAGGCUGAAAGUACCAGACUCUUGCUUUCCCAGGUUCACUUGAAGCUAAAGACAGCCACAUGAGCCAGUUCUGGCCAAUGAGAAGUAAGAGGAAGACCGUACUGGGAGAUGUCUGGGGACAUUUUUCUUCUAGUUAAAAGGAUGAGCAUGCAUGAGGCCCCUGCGCUUUUUUCCUUCAUGGCUGUGAACACAGUUGUAUGAAAACAUGAUUCUUCAACUAUGGCAACCAUGCAACAGCAAGUCUAAAGACCAAGAGCCAAUGCUGAGAGUAAAGAAAUAAAAGGAUGAAAGAAGUCUGCUCAGUUGUAGUAUUUUUCAGCUGAUGAACCAAAGUAGGACCUCUAGACUUCUUUUGUGAGACAGUGAAAACUGCUCUUGAGGCUUUUUGUUAAAUAUUCUUGUUACCUGCCUCUGAAAGCAUUUUGAUGCAUUGAAAAUGCAGAAUGAUACAGAAACUGGAAUUAAGACAUCUCCAAACUGUAACCGAGGCUUUCUGAGAAGUCCACAGGGCUCUGGACAGCCCCUACCAACCAGUGAUGGGAGUUACCUCGUAAGAUGAAAUCUAUGUGCCAACCCUAUUGUCAAACAAAUAUUUGUCUGGGAGUAAGGAGAAUUGAAUCCUACUUUGAGGCUUUGACAUUACCUGGAUAUAUGGCCUUAAACAAACUAUUAAACAUUUCCGGGUCUCAGUUUCCUUAUCCACAAAAUGGCAUUAGGAUUGGUCUUCUCCAAUGAGUAAUUCAUGAUCUGCCAGAGACUCUCAAGCCUGAACUGAUGGGUCUCCAAGCUGGUUGCUGCUACCAAGUACCUCUUCCCUUUACUCCGCACCAGGGAAGGAAAUUCACCCGAAACAGGGACAUCAACUUUCUAGCUCUGUUUGGGGACUUUCCUGUCCCUAAAAGGCCCUGGAGGAAAUAACGUAAACCGGCAUUUGGGGCGACUGCUAAGAGGCUAAAUCUUGUGACACUGGGAGCCCAAUGGCGUGGUUCAAGGAGCCCAAGAGUGGCCCAGUGGAGAGUGUUCUAUCAGCCAGAGGGGCAGAGCCUCUGUGCGAGGUGUGUCAGGAAUGGGUGUGACCGCACCAGAAGACACAUCAAGUGGGGAAAAUCAGGAAAGAAACUCACUGAACUCCCUGGCUCAGGUGCUGGGAGUUAAAUCCUCCCACGACAAGGCCUACAGGGUUGCAUCCGCAGGGGAAGCUCCGGCUCCUGGCGAUGGUGAGUGGCCUCUGAUGGAGGUGGGGUGGAGUGAAGCCAUUUCAGGAAGGAAGUCGGGAUCCCCAAACCUGGCGGUCCUGAGCACAGGUUUCAGAGGAUUGCAGGAGAGUCCUUUCUAGAAAUACUAAACAGAGCAGAGAUGUAAAGAAACUUCAACUUCCUCCUCAAACGCUCCAGGUCGCUGGUAGCCUGCUCAACGAGGGGAGGCGCCACCUACAGGAGACAGGAAGACCUGCAACCUGGUCUGGAGACUUCAACAGUUCGAUGGCAGGGAUUAACCCGGCCCCACCCUUCCUUCUCCUCGUUGCAGCCCCUAACGUUUAUCGAAUGCUUUUCUCGUGCCAGACAUUGUCCUAAGCGCUUGACAUGUAUUAACUCUUUUAAACUUGACGAUAACCCUAUGAGUGUAACUCAGGGCCAAGGAUUUAACUCAGUGGGCCUUCAGUUCUGCACUUUGCCGUUCCCAUAUUUUUGAGACACCCUUACGCGUCUGGAGAGAAAAUUGUUGCUAAGGGUUAACUGCACUGCAGCGGCAGACAAAGCUGGCCUGAUGGCAGGAAUACUGUUCCCCGAUGGCGGUUCCACGGGCACCUAAUUAUGAAAAAGUUUGAAUGACGAUAAUAAUGAUGUCAGUGGGGAGCCACAGAAGAAUUCUGAGCUGGGGAAGGACAUGAUCAAGACAGCAUCUUGAGGAAGCGAUCCAGGGCUGUAGCUGGUGCUAUGAUGGGUGUAUUCUGCAUGUUCAAAAGGUCAUCUGGCAUGGAGACAGGCUAAAUUAUGGCUGGAGUGUAUGAAUCUGAGGACGUUCUCCAUUAACAUUUAUUAGGAAUUGUCAUCGCUUCAACCCGCAUGGGCCCCAGAUGUGGAAACCCCAGCUGCCCCGGACUUCUCUUCCGGGCUGCAAUCUCUCCUCUGAUUUAUUGUUAUUAAACAUGACCAGAUUUUGUAGAGGGGAAAAUUGAAGAAAGCAACACACACAUGGGGAACUGUUGGGUGGAGGCUGCCAAGAGAAACAAACCAUUUUAUCCUAUCUGGUGACAGUGGGAACACAUGGAGACACAAACCGCUGUGCCUCUUUCCUAAAUCAGAAACAUGCAGGCCUGAGCCUCUGGGCAUCUGUUCACAGGCCAAAUGUCUUCACCCUGAGGGUGAGCGAGGGGCAGUUGAAGGUAAUGAGAAAUGCUAAGAAUAGAAUUCUAGAAGCCACGGCAGGGACCCUCUUCCUCAAAAUAUAUUACCUUCCAGGGCAGAUGACUUCCUGGGAGUCAGUCACACCCUCUGGAUAUCAUUUUUCUUAUCAGUAACAUUUACUCUUCCACUGUGUAGUGAUUGUGAGGGAUCCCAAGAAGUCAAAGUUAGAGCCCCACCUUCUGGCCGCUUAUAAUUUAUUUUGUUUAUUCACUCAUUCAGCAUAAUUUUAUUAAGCACAUACUAUGUAGCGGGCAUUAUCAUAGGUUUUGAGGAAAUAUUAGUAAAGCAGAGAGAGCAGGGCACCUACAUAUGUAUGAGGGAACAAUAUCAGAAAAUACCAAAACAGUAGCUAAUAGACAAAGAAGUGUGUGAGAAGGAAGGCAGCAUAAAGAAAGCAUACUGCAUUAGGAGUCAGGAAAACUGAAUUCCCAUCCUGGCUCUACUACCUAAGAGUCUUGUGCCCUUAGGUAAGUUAUUUAACUUCUUGGAACCUCAGCUUCUUGUUCAUAAAAUGGCGAUAAACCUACCUCACCUCACCUCACUGGUUUCUUGUAAAAUAUAAAUGAGGUAAUGUAUUUGAAGAGUUCCUUGUAAACAGCAAAUUGCACUAUGGUGUCAGGGGUUUUUAUGAUCAGUGCCAAAUAAAUGAUACGGUGAGUGUAUGGGACAGUACGUUCCCGAGCCAGAAGUCUGGGGACUCAUCCUCUUCCGCUUUGUCUUGGGAAAAGGAGCAAGCAGGAUUAUCCCCAGGCGCUGGACAUGUGUCCCUUGGGGAUUCUUUUACUCAUGGAGUCUGGAUAUCUUGCUGAUCUUACUAACAGACCAAACCUGGGAAAUCCUCACUUCACUAUGCCUUUUCUUAGACCUGUGCGUGGAAAUUAUCCUAUGCAGGAGUUGUGGCGGGUGAACAUAGGUAAUGAGGAAAGUCUCAAAGGCGCUAGGUCCAAUUACCUUUGUUUUUGCAUUGUUCCUCCUUAAGAUUAUCUAGGUUCCAAGGAGAAGGAAUGAUGUUAAUCCAUUCCCUUGACCCAUCUUUCAACUUUACAUCCCUUGGCCACCGCAAUGCACUUAUAGCAUAUGUAUAAGCUGGCACACACACCUGCAUCAUACCUGGAAUUAGUGGGGAUAUCCCUAGGGCCAGACUUUCUUCUACCAGGGACUAAAGCCCCAGCUGCUUCCUCCUAACAUGCAGCUAACCAUGGGGUAUCCUUCCUAAGCCUCACAAGCCCAUGCAUCCUUGACCUAUAAAAAAAGAAGGCCUUUGUGGCUCAGU